rnacentral:lncRNA from 1 species
AUCAUCACCUCUUCUUCUCCCUCUCUCUCACUCUCUCACGACCUCCAAACACUCUUCCUCUCCUCUCCACCUCCUAAAGUCAUCUUCCUCCCGCUCCUCCGAACGUUUCCGCCGCCACCACCAUAAACGCCAACAACAUCAACUUCCCCUCCCACUAUCUUCCGGCAGCGAUUACCUUCUCUCACUCUCCGUCGGCUCCUCCUCCUCCGUCUCUCUUUACUUAGACACCGGAAGCGACCUCGUCUGGUUCCCUUGCCGUCCUUUCACCUGCAUCCUCUGCGAAUCCAAACCUCCUCCUUCUCUGACCUCCCUCUCCUCCUCCGCCACCACAGUCCCCUGCUCCUCCCCCUCUUGCUCCGCCGCUCACUCCUCCCUCCC